rnacentral:lncRNA from 1 species
AUGGAGAGAGAGGUAACAUCAGGUUCCCUAUCACUGGUGGCUGUCAUUUUAUCCUCCCCAAAACUAGAUUUUAGUCAAAGUGCCCCAUCCCAUUCCCCCCCAGCUCAACAUGUCUCUGUCCAGCCCUAUUCCAUUACCCCCCACCUCAACAUGUCUCUGUCCAGCUCCAUCCCAUUCCCCCCCAGCUCAACAUGUCUCUGUCCAGCCCCAUCCCAUUCCCCCCCAGAUUCCCCCCCAGCUCAACAUAUCCCUGUCCAUUCCCUCCAGCUCAACAUGUCUCUGUCCAGCCCCAUCCCAUUCCCCCCCAGCUCAACAUGUCCCUGUCCAGCCCCAUCCCAUUCCCUCCAGCUCAACAUGUCCCUGUCCAGCUCCAUCCCAUUCCCCCCUGCUCAACAUGUCUCUGUCCAUCCCAUCCCCCCCAGCUCAACAUGUCCCUGUCCAGCCCCAUCCCAUUCCCUCCAGCUCAACAUGUCUCUGUCCAGCCCCAUCCCAUUCCCCCAAGCUCAACAUGUCCCUGUCCAUCCCAUCCCCCCCAGCUCAACAUGUCUCUGUCCAUCCCAUUCCCUCCAGCUCAACAUGUCCCUGUCCAGCCCCAUCCCAUUCCCCCCAGCUCAACAUGUCUCUGUCCAGCCCCAUCCCAUUCCCCCCCCAGCUCAACAUGUCCCUGUCCAGCCCCAUCCCAUUCCCCUCAGCUCAACAUAUCCCUAUCCAGCCCCAUCCCAUUCCCCCCCAGCUCAACAUGUCCCUGUCCAGCCCCAUCCCAUUCCCUCCAGCUCCAUCCCAUUCCCCCCAGCUCAACACAUCCCUGUCCAGCCCCAUCCCAUCCCCCCCCAGCUAAACAUGUCCCUGUCCAGCCCCAUCCCAUCCCCCCCAGCUAAACAUGUCCCUGUCCAGCCCCAUCCCAUUCCCCCCCAGCUCAACAUGUCCCUGUCCAGCCCCAUCCAAUUCCCCCCAGCUCAACAUGUCCCUGUCCAGCCCCAUCCCACCCCCCCCCCAGCUAAACAUGUCCCUGUCCAGCCCCAUCCCAUUCCCCCCAGCCCCAUCCCAUUCCCCCCCAGCUCAACAUGUCCCUGUCCAGCCCCAUCCCAUUCCCCCCAGCUAAACAUGUCCCUGUCCAGCCCCAUCCCAUUCCCCCCAGCUCAACAUGUCUCUGUCCAGCCCCAUCCCAUUCCCUCCAGCUCAACAUGUCCCUGUCCAGCCCUAUCCCAUUCCCCCCAGCUCCACAUGUCCCUGUCCAGCCCCAUCCCAUUCCCUCCAGCUCAACAUGUCCCUGUCCAGCCCCAUCCCAUUCCCCCCAGCUAA